rnacentral:rRNA from 1 species
UACGAAGGGGGCUAGCGUUGUUCGGAAUCACUGGGCGUAAAGGGCGCGUAGGCGGCUUUGUAAGUCGGGGGUGAAAGCCUGUGGCUCAACCACAGAAUUGCCUUCGAUACUGCAUGGCUUGAGACCGGAAGAGGUAAGUGGAACUGCGAGUGUAGAGGUGAAAUUCGUAGAUAUUCGCAAGAACACCAGUGGCAAAGGCGGCUUACUGGUCCGGUUCUGACGCUGAGGCGCGAAAGCGUGGGGAGCAAACAGG